CGUAGGGUGCGAGCGUUAAUCGGAAUUACUGGGCGUAAAGCGUGCGCAGGCGGUUUUGUAAGACAGAUGUGAAAUCCCCGGGCUCAACCUGGGACCUGCAUUUGUGACUGCAAGGCUAGAGUACGGUAGAGGGGGAUGGAAUUCCGCGUGUAGCAGUGAAAUGCGUAGAUAUGCGGAGGAACACCGAUGGCGAAGGCAAUCCCCUGGACCUGUACUGACGCUCAUGCACGAAAGCGUGGGGAGCAAACAGGAUUAGAUACCCUGGUAGUCCACGCCCUAAACGAUGUCAACUGGUUGUUGGGUCUUUACUGACUCAGUAACGAAGCUAACGCGUGAAGUUGACGCCUGGGGAGUACGGCCGCAAGGUUG
rnacentral:rRNA from 1 species